GAGCCUGGUCCCGGAGACCUGCAGUGAGGAACGCGUCGGUGCCACGGGUGCAGGAGGCUCUUCUUCCCAGACUCGUCCGUAAGGAGUCUGGUUCGCGCCACCUAAGGAGUCUGGUUCGCGCCACCUGUCAAGCAAACCCCAAUUCUCGUCAAAGUCUCGCCCCUCUCCUCUGAGUCACAGGGAGGCGCCUUUCCCAGGGGCCUGCAGCAAGGUAUGGAGGACCAGGUUCCGGCCCAGAGGCUGUGCAGGGGCGGGGCCACCGAGGCCAGAACAGGUGAUAUCCAUGUAGAUGUGCAGCAGACCUAGAGUGAAACCAGUAAAGCUUGGAGCAAUUGGACAGAGCUCUGGAAGGCAAAGAGUGAUAAAUGGCAUGUUGGAAAGGAUUUACUGCAAAGACCCACAUUUCCCAGUGCGACUUAGAUCACGGUUUACCAUGGGUAACUGAAAACUUGGAAGGCAAAAGCGCACGAUUCCCUCUUUCUUGGAGGAAGUCAGUCUUUCCUGUGAUUAGACCUUCAACUGAUUGGAAGAGGGUCACCCACAUUAUGGAAGACAAUCUCCUUUACUCAAAGUCCACCAUCAACUUGAAUGUUAAUCUCAUCUAUAAACACCCUCAUAGAAACAUCCAGAACAAUGUUUGACCAUAUUUCUGGGCACUGUGGCCCAGCUGAGUUGACACAUAAAAUUAACCAUCACCCUCCUCCUUAAGUAUGUCUCCUGAAAAUUGGCUGACCACAAAGAAAGACAUGCCGUGAUCACCUGUGGAUCUCGGUUCUUUGUAGCCUUGUUUUCUCCUUCCCGUAAAAGAAAAGUCAUUUUCUGCCUGACUUGGAGAACUUUACAGAUCUUAUGACCACAGCAUUCCCCUUAUUGCAAUUGUCCCUCUGCCCCUAUUGCAGCAGUCUUUUGGAACAAAAUCUCUCAUUCUCUAAGUCCACGUAUGCUUUUUAUUUGCCAAUCUCAUGUAGCACAGAAAAACUUGUGAAUUCCAAAUUAAAGGCAGGAUUAUGAUUCCGUUUUAUUUUGAUGAUCCCUGAAUAUGCUCCCAAAGUAGGUAGCUCCUUUAUUGAUUAAAUACAAUUGC
rnacentral:lncRNA from 1 species